UACGGAGGGUGCGAGCGUUGUCCGGAAUCAUUGGGCGUAAAGGGCGCGUAGGUGGCCCGGUCAGUCCGUGGUGAAAGCGCGGGGCUCAACCCUGCGUCGGCCAUGGAUACUGCCGCGGCUCGAGCACUGUAGAGGCAGGCGGAAUUCCGGGUGUAGCGGUGGAAUGCGCAGAUAUCAGGAGGAACACCGGUGGCGAAGGCGGUUCUCUGGGCAUUACCUGACGCUGAGGAGCGAAAGCAUGGGGAGCGAACAGG
rnacentral:rRNA from 1 species